UACGUAGGGCGCAAGCGUUAUCCGGAAUUAUUGGGCGUAAAGAGCUCGUAGGCGGUUUGUCGCGUCUGCCGUGAAAACUCGGGGCUUAACUCCGGGCCUGCAGUGGGUACGGGCAGACUAGAGUGCGGUAGGGGAGACUGGAAUUCCUGGCGUAGCGGUGAAAUGCGCAGAUAUCAGGAGGAACACCGGUGGCGAAGGCGGGUCUCUGGGCCGUAACUGACGCUGAGGAGCGAAAGCGUGGGGAGCGAACAGG
rnacentral:rRNA from 1 species